rnacentral:misc_RNA from 1 species
UACUACUCCUUCCGUCCUAAAAUAUAAAAAAAAUUAUUCGGAUGAGACACAUUCUAGUACUACUAAUCUGGACAGAAGUAUGUCCAGAUUCAUAAUACUACAAUAUAUCAUAUCCGAUCAAAAUCCUUUAUAUUUUAGUAUGGAUGGAGU